rnacentral:lncRNA from 1 species
CGGCUAGACUCCGGUAUCGAAAUUCCUACCGUCCGGUGGAAUCUCGGGUGUCGGAGACCUCUAGUAGGGUAGAAGCAUGUUUUUACAAAAUGUUUUAAUGUAUUUCAUGAUUUUAAGUAAAAAGGAAAUGAGUUUUUGCAUGAAAACAACCUUGGAGGAAAACCCAGGUUCGGCCGCCGAACCUCAAGUUCGGCCGCCGAACCUUAAGUUCGGCCGCCGAACAUGCAUGCAAUUCGGGUGUGCCUUAGGCCCCCGAAGGCAUAAGUGGGGGAAGUCCAGGUUCGGCCGCCGAACCUCAAGUUCGGCCGCCGAACAUGGCAUGCAUGCGGAGGCACGUUCGGCCCCCGAACGUGGCCUGGCCAGCCACUAUAAAAGGGUCCCUUAGCCGAAAACGGGCGAGUUUUUCUCCCCAUUGUCGGCCAAGGUGAGCUCUCCGCCG